rnacentral:rRNA from 1 species
UACAGAGGGGGCAAGCGUUGUCCGGAAUUACUGGGCGUACAGCGCGCGCAGGCGGUUGCCGACGUGCCGUGUGACAAGCGGGGGCUCAACCCCCGAGGGCCACGGUAAACGGGGCGACUGGAGGGAGGGAGAGGGAUGUGGAAUGCCCGGUGGAGCGGUGAAAUGCGUAGAGAUCGGGCGGAACACCAGCGGCGAAGGCGGCAUCCUGGCCCUUACCUGACGCUGAGGCGCGAGGGCGUGGGGAGCAAACCGG